UUUUUAUAUUAAGAAUUAAAUUUUGAGGUAUGGCUGCCAUGUCACAUGUGUGUCAGUAGGUGGCAGAGAGGAGAGAGGCUAUGUCUAUGCUAUGUUCUUACCAGUGAACAUCUGAAUGAUCAGUAGCCUGAUAGU